rnacentral:lncRNA from 1 species
AGGUGGGAUGUUCGGGCUUCCAACCAUAGACGCAGGUCCAGGAGGUGGGGGAUAUAGGCUUCCAACCCCAGAAGCAGGUCCAGGAGGAGCAUUCAGGCUUCCAACCCCAGACACUGGUCCAGGAGAUGGGACGUUCGGGCUUCCAACCGUAGACGUAGGUCCAGGAGGUGGGGGAUAUAGACUUCCAACCCCAGAAGCAGGUUCAGGAGGAGGGGGAUAUAGGUUUCCAACCCCAGACACUGGUCCAAGAGGUGGGGGAUAUAGGCUUCCAACCCCAGAAGCAGGUCCACGAGGAGGGGGAUAUAGGUUUCCAACCCCAGACACUGGUCUAGGAGGUGGGACAUUUGGGCUUCCAACCCUAGACGCAGGUCCAGGAGGUGGGACAUUUGGGCUUCCAACCCUAGACGCAGGUCCAGGAGGUGGGACAUUUGGGCUUCCAACCCUAGACGCAGGUCCAGGAGGUGGGACAUUUGGGCUUCCAACCCUAGACGCAGGUCCAGGAGGUGGGGCAUUUGGGCUUCCAACCCCAGAUGCAGGUGUAGAAGGUGGGGGGUUCAAACUUGCAACCCCAGACGUAGUUACAGGAGGUGGGGCAUUCAA